rnacentral:rRNA from 1 species
UACGGAGGGGGUUAGCGUUGUUCGGAAUUACUGGGCGUAAAGCGCACGUAGGCGGAUUAGUAAGUUAGAGGUGAAAUCCCAGGGCUCAACCCUGGAACUGCCUUUAAUACUGCUAGUCUUGAGUUCGAGAGAGGUAAGUGGAAUUCCGAGUGUAGAGGUGAAAUUCGUAGAUAUUCGGAGGAACACCAGUGGCGAAGGCGGCUUACUGGCUCGAUACUGACGCUGAGGUGCGAAAGUGUGGGGAGCAAACAGG